CAACCCUCAAGCCCUGCUUGGUGUUGGGGCCCUACGACCGACGUAGGACGUAGGCCCUGAAAGGAAGUGGCGGGCUCGCUGCAACUCCGAGCGUAGUAAUUCAUUAUCUCGCUAGGGAGGCUUGCGGCGCGCUCCGGCCGUUAAAGACCAUCUUUAACUCAA
rnacentral:misc_RNA from 1 species